rnacentral:rRNA from 1 species
UCUUCGUCUCCCCCCCCGCGGUUGCGGGACUGGUCGUGGCAAGGGCUCCGUAUUCCCACCGUCGCACUACUAAGGAGUGGGCGGAGGGCUGCGGGUCCCCGUUGGCUGCGACGGACCCGUCGGGGGCUCGAGGCUGGCAGCGAGUAGGUCGGUCACCCACCCGACCCGUCUUGAAACACGGACCAAGGAGUCUAACAUGUGCGCGAGUCAAUGGGUCUUGACUAGGCCCAGGGGCGCAAUGAAAGCGAAGGACUGCCCAGCGCAGUCUGAGUGGGGAUCCCUUUCCCUCGGGAGGGGGCGCACCCACGACCCGUCCUAUCCGGCUCGCCGGUUGGGCGGAG